GAUGAACGCUGGCGGCGUGCUUAACACAUGCAAGUCGAACGGUGAAGCAGGAGCUUGCUCCUGUGGAUCAGUGGCGAACGGGUGAGUAACACGUGAGCAAUCUGCCCUGGACUCUGGGAUAAGCGUUGGAAACGACGUCUAAUACCGGAUACGAGGCGUGGGGGCAUCCCCAACGCCUGGAAAGAACUUCGGUCCAGGAUGAGCUCGCGGCCUAUCAGGUAGUUGGUGAGGUAACGGCUCACCAAGCCUACGACGGGUAGCCGGCCUGAGAGGGUGACCGGGAACACGGGGACUGAGACACGGCACAGACUCCUACGGGAGGCAGCAGUGGGGAAUAUUGCACAAUGGGCGCAAGCCUGAUGCGGCAACGCCGCGUGAGGGACGACGGCCUUCGGGUUGUAAACCUCUUUUAGCAGGGAAGAAGCGAAAGUGACGGUACCUGCAGAAAGAGCACCGGCUAACUACGUGCCAGCCGCCGCCGUAAUAC
rnacentral:rRNA from 1 species